CCCACUGCCGCGCAUGCGCCACAUCCACCCGCCGGCCCGGGCUCGCCUCCCCUCCCGUUUUCGCCCGCCGUGUGCGUCACGAGCCCUUGCCCCGGCCCCGCCCCUCCUGUCAUCGCCCGCCGAUUGCGUCAACAGCCCCGCCCUAUCCUGGCCCCGCCCCCUCCCGUUUCCCUUCUCAUGAACAAGGAGAUCUCUUGUGAGCGCAUGCGUACUCGGGUGGGCGGGCGACUAUGGCAGAAGCUGUUGUCAAGAGGGUAGGGCGGGGGUUGUGGUCACGGUCCACGGCGUCUUUCCCGUAACUGUAUAAAAACGACAACGAGAGGUUGUAGGUAUUAGUGUGUUUUUUUUUUCUCCUUUUGAAAUGUACCAAACAAUUUUUUCAGCCAACGAAGAACUUUUUCCAAAAUGUCAAGAUGCUGCAGAUGCUCGGGUGGGUCAGUCUGUCCACACAUGACACAGUGAUGUGAAAAACUCAUGUUCAUGUUUCUGAAGAGUCUGAAGAAGGAUCUCGACCCGAAACGUCGCCUAUUUCCUUCUCUCCAUCGACGCUGCCUCACCCGCUGAGUUUCUCCAGCAUUUUUGUCUACCAUGUUUCGAAUGAUCCUGACGCUUGAAGGAAUAAACAUUAUCAAGAGCAUGAUGUCGGAGAAAUUGGAAAAGAAAGACAUGGUUUAAAUCACUUGCAAAAAUGGAGCUGGCAGCAUUGGUUGUAUUUGACCCAGUUUAAAAUAAAAUAAAAAAUUUUAGGAUAGUUGAUGGUUUAGGACUGACGCCCGGUCCACUCCUGGCUCCGGGCCGGGGUUAAAACUCCAUGUGAUCUGGACAGAGCGGCCGACGGACACAGAGCCACCGGAGGUGAGGGUGGGAGGUGUGCUGGGUGGGUGGGGGGGUGCUGGGACCACCGCCGUGUUUCACCUAUCACACCAUCUGCACAGGAAUGUGAAUGCGGGUGAGGCAGCAUCUAUAGAGCAGUAGACAAAAAUGCUGGAGAAAUGCUUGAGUCUGAAGUGUGCGAUGGGCUCAAGCCAAUCUAGUUGCUCGUUCUUUAUGGGAAACCCGCUGACAGAAAACUAUUCUAUUGGUGAGUGUGGAGGAGUGUUAAUUUAUUUAUUUAUGUAUAUAUAUAUU